UGCGAUCCACAGCGCCAUCUGCUGCACAAAGGACUAGUUCAGGGACUGGCUGGGAAGAGGCUGGCCAGAAGCACGCAGGGCACGUCCAGCUGCUUGAAGUACACCAUCAGGUCUGGGAUGCCAACGUGAAUUCUGAAGAAACAACGCAGCCCACAGCAUCUGUCGCCUCUGCUUCUGACAUUCCUGUGACACGUGUGCCGCCCCACUCUGAGCUACCUCAGGGAGUGGUCCUCGCCUGCCUCCUUCGUUGUAGGUGACCUGAGAGCACCUGUCACCUGGCCUGUCACCCUGUUUCCCGCACUUCCUUUGCCGUGGGCUCUCUCCCUCAGUAGAACAGAAGGCCCUCAGCCCAGCUGCCCAGCAGCCGCUCACUGUUGCUUAUGGGAUAAAGGAACCAGCGAGCUUUAUGCUGUUUCCAUCACUCACCUCCUCCCUCCACUCCUGUUUCAUCUCCCAUCUCCUAAACUAGAGACUAAAUUCCUCAAGGUGACCUUCCUGGUCAUCCAUCCAAGAUCACAUUAAACAAAAUUGUGUGUCACAGUGUCUCGCCCCAAUAUGUACAUUGACAGUCAACAGAUGUCAAUCGAUGUUUCCUGAUUCGACCUUUCUUCUGUUCAUUUCAUAACUAUUUGCUUUCUAGGUGCUGUGAAGGGAACUAAAAGUAAUGGCUCAUACAGACACAGCCCCCACACCACAGGGAGACACCAUCAGUGUAGGGCCUCACUCAAACACAGCCUCCAUACCACAGAGAGACGCCUUCAGUGUAGGGCCUCACUCAAACACAGCCUCACACACCACAGAGAGAUGCCAUCAGUAUGUCUCCUCACACAGACACAGCCUCCACAUCACGGAGAGACACGAGCAGUGUAGCUCCACGAAAUCGCCAUUGUGUUUGAAAUCUGCAGUUCUACAGUAAAGUGGUGGUAUUUUUGCUACUUCACACACCAAAACCCAAAUGGGGUAGGGGAGGGGCAGGAAUGGCCCAUAACGCUCAGGAACUCUUACAGAGUACUGUCCAUCUGCCGCUGUAACUCCCUUAACAACUUGACAUGUAAAUCCUUCAGUACUAAGUGCCAGGAUGUUUCAGAGUUCCUCUUCUGUCUGAAGCCCCAAACCAGGAAGGUGGCCCUGCAGCACAGGACCGCUUUCCACGGUCUGUGUCGCUCACUGGGCUAUCUUCCAGCUCUGAGUUCUUUUCACUGUGUUCUAAGGCCAAGGCUACUGUUGCCCAUGAUGAACUGAGGCUCACAGAUCCCACUGCAAACCUCUCAUGGUCUGAGAUCUAACAUCCACGCCCUUCCUGGAGGUGGCGUGCUGUGGGAUACUGGGUAACAGAACAAUUUAGAUGAAAACAACAGCAGCACCCCGACUUUCCUGUGGACCCCUCCUGGGGGGUGGGGAAGGUGAAGAUGGAGAACCUCAGACAGUUAUCUACCUGGGGAGUCCUUUCUAAAAAUACCUAAAGAUAAUGUUUGCGUAAUACUUGCAACUUUGAUCUGCAAAGAGAGACCCGUCUUUGAGGACUUGAAAAGACGACGGAGAAGACAUUUUGCCAGAAGCUGGGGUUUGACUGGAGGUCUGGUGGUCAGGCCCGGGUGCGAGGACUACUUUGCAACAUCAAACAGAUGUUUCCUUCUGUGUCUCUCACAUAGCUUUUUGUGGUGAUAUUUUAUUUGUACUAAAAUGUGAUUUGUAUGUUAAUAGAUAAAGUUGCCUGGGGGUCAGAGCUAUUAGAGUCAUAGCAAGAGCGUGACGGUGGUGGUGCACACCUUUAAUCCCAGCACUUGGUAGGCAGAGCUAGGUAGAUCUCUGUGUGUUCAAGGAUACAGCCAGCAUUGGAGACACAUGCCUUUAAUCUCAAUACCAACCAAAGAAGACCUGGAGGUCUGUACAGACAGGCAGUGACUAGGAGGUCAUGUGGUUGGGUUUACAACCAAUGAGAAGGCAGAACAGAAACUCUAUAAAAAAGACAGACACACAGGAAGUAGGUCUCUUUGCUGAGAGGAAGGACAGCGCCAGUGAAGGGUAAGGUUUCUAGCUCUGACCUCUUGGCUUUUAACUCUGCAAUUGUUUCUGUGUUUCUUAAUUAAUAAGACCAUUUAGCUACAGAUUUUUUCUUUUUUCUUAUUUUUGGUGAUAGAAUUAUAAUCACCAACAGCACAGUAUGCUUAUGAUGGUCAUUCUUCAGACUCCUCCAUCAUCAGACCCCAGCAGAUGUGAAUUUCCUAACUUUGCCCACCAUCAUAGAAAGAGGUCCACAGGUUGGGACGGGAGCCUUCACUGUUUUUAUCUUGGCCCUGAAGUGUCUUGGUCAGGUUCCAGCACACAUGAGAGUCAGAAGUAACAACUGGGCAGCCAAGACUUUCCUUCCCCAUGUCUCUCUGGUCCCACAUCCAUCUGCUCGAUCUUGGUUUGGGGAUUGGAAUCUUGGGUCACUUGAGACUGGGGUGCUGGGGUGACUGCCUGCAUCCCAUGUGUCCUCGACUCUUCUCCCUUAUCUUAACCUUCAGGGGCCCCCAAGUUCUUCCAGCCUGUGGAAUGUGGAUCUUUGACUUUCAGUCACGACUGUUACAAACUGACUCACCUAUUCCAAUGGCUGCUUUGUAGGUAAUGUCAGCACUUCUUCUCAACCCCAUUGAGUCCACUUGAAAAAAAAGAAUUUGGGGAAAAAGAGAUCUGGGUGUAUUUCCAGGUAGAGAAACCCUCUGCUCCUCAGGCCCUGGCUGAUCUUUAUUUAUUGGUUUGCUGUUGGUUUGUUUUGUUUUGAGGUGGGGUAGCCCUAUAGACUUGCUUGGUCUGGAAUUCAGUAUCUGGACUUGAACUCACAGCAGUCUUUCUGCUUCUGCCAAAGGAAAGGCAAGCCUAUGAAGACUUCAGAUGUGACAGAGGCCUCCAGGAAUAGCUAAGGAUGAGAUCAGGGCUGAGAAGUGGGAGGGUACUGUUAAUCCCACCAGUGGAGAGUAAGACCACUGCCAUAGUUUAAAAUCAAAUUUGAAACAAGCUUUAAUUAAAUAUUGGCUAGGUGGAUGGGCUCUGGUCAGGUCCAUACCCAGAUUCCCAGGAAAUGUCCCCGAAUCACAGUUUGCAGCAGCUUAAAAAGGAAAACCUAUAAUUCAUUGCAUUUCUCAUCAGGUCCAAUCAGGGGCAAGCAUACAUCCUGAUGUAUUUCCUGCCUGUGAACCUCCCACCCACAUGUGAUCAAGCACAUCUGGUGCAGAUGGGUCAAAUAAACUUGUUUAGGGGAGUGAAAAUGUGGCUUGUUUUCUCCCAUGAUCAGUAGCCUCCAGCAUUUCAGGAUCUAAUUGUCCUUGCACAAGGGACUUACAGAUCAGAGGUGUUUUUGUUUCAUGGAUCUCUUAGGCAUAGCAAUUUUAACUUAAAAUGUAACUUUAGCUCUCACAGUACCCAACAGAAGCUCCAUUAGUUUUCCACCCACUUUUUUCUGUUGUUCUUAGGAGAGAGGGUCUUGCUGUGUAGCCCAGGCUGGCCUUAAACUCACCGUGUACUUGCCUCAGUGAUCUCCCAGAUGCUGGGAUGUGCCUCCAUGCCUGGCUCAUUUCCACUGCUGUCUAUUGUUAUAUCUCUCAAAUAUUAUUAAGGACCAGCCUUAAUCUUCUUCCCAGGGGCCCAGAAGAGAAGCUAUGGAUGGCGUAAAUUAUUUUUGGGAAAAGAAUCUAAGUACACCGAGCUCUUAGUCUGUCUAUUUUAUUCCUCUGGGAUAAGAUUCUCUCUACACAGCUUCAGUUCUGUUCUCAUGCCUAGCUCUUUCUUGCCUGAUUUCUCUCUACAUUUAUCUGCCGUCCCCUCAUUGUUCUAUCUUAAUUCUCUCAUCUCAGUUCUGCCCCAUCUUGGUCUUUCUCACCUCGUUCUUCCCCAUCUGGCUCUUCCUCAUCCUCCAUCUCAUUCUUCUAGUUCUUCAGUCAGAAUCCUCCUCCGUCUCUGAGGUUUACAGUUAUAUACCCAUGCAAUAGCAGUGAUCUAGCUAAAGCAAGGUCACCAGGCUUGAAUUCUUACAGGGUCAUAAACGCAGACAAGAGUUUUCCUCAGGCAGUGACCCUCAGGCUUUCUUUUACAACCCAAAAGGGGAGAGGUACAGGAGGAGGUCAAACUGAGAGCUAAAAUCGGUUAAUAUAUCAGAAAAAGGGAAUUUUUGUGCUCAAACUACAUUCCUAGACGUGGUUAGGUAAGUGUUAGGAGUCUAUAAUGUUAGUAUAAAUACCACGAAGGCUGUAUAAGAAAGGGGGGUCUGAGCUUAAUGUAUCUUAAUUCAGGAGAUUGUUUGGCCUUGGAUGCUUGAUAGGUAUUUCAGAUAAAAUAAACUGUUAUGAGUUCUUGGAAACAUACAUAGCAUACAAGAAAAUCAUUGCAGGAAUCGGCUAAUACAUAUAUACAAAAGCUAAAAUAUCACCAAGACUUCUUAAGCCAUGGCUUGACCUCCGGAAAAGUCCUUGACCUUUCCAAGUAGUAGCUUUUAUGAUAGUAGCUGAAUUCCAUUACAUUUUCCUGCGGCUUGCAGCAUGUAUCACCGUCUCCCACCCUUACAGAAACAAAAUCAGGAUGCAGGUAAUCAGCAUCUUCAAUACUCAACUUCCACAAAAGGUGUUUCAUUUUUGUCUCACUGAGUUUGGAAACUGAGUUCUGUGAUUCUCUUACCCAUAGUCAUCCGCUGGCCAGCGUUUGCUAAGUACCUCCCAUGUCGGGCACUGGGCUGCGCUCUUGGGAUAGAAAUGUGACUAAGAAGUGGAGUAUCUGCACAGACAGGCAUAGAAACACUUCAGGAGAAUGUGGGGUGCCUGGCACGUGACACAGUUUGCCUAACAUCCUUUCUCUAGAUGUUUCUCAGCUUCUUUGGACACCUGAAGCAGAGAGUAAAAGAGAGAGAUGCCACCUUGAGA